GAAGGAGUGACUGAGAGGUUAAAAGUGGCAGACUGUAAAUCUGUUGGCAACGUCCAUCGUAGGUUCGAAUCCUACCUCCUUCA
rnacentral:tRNA from 1 species